AUUGAACGCUGGCGGCAUGCCUUACACAUGCAAGUCGAACGGCAGCACGGGUGCUUGCACCUGGUGGCGAGUGGCGAACGGGUGAGUAAUACAUCGGAACAUGUCCUGUAGUGGGGGAUAGCCCGGCGAAAGCCGGAUUAAUACCGCAUACGAUCUACGGAUGACAGCGGGGGACCUUCGGACCUCGCGCUAUAGGGUUGGCCGAUGGCUGAUUAGCUAGUUGGGGGGGUAAAGGCCUACCAAGGCGACGAUCAGUAGCUGGUCUGAGAGGACGACCAGCCACACUGGGACUGAGACACGGCCCAGACUCCUACGGGAGGCAGCAGUGGGGAAUUUUGGACAAUGGGCGAAAGCCUGAUCCAGCAAUGCCGCGUGUGUGAAGAAGGCCUUCGGGUUGUAAAGCACUUUUGUCCGGAAAGAAAUCCUUGGCCCUAAUACGGUCGGGGGAUGACGGUACCGGAAGAAUAAGCACCGGCUAACUACGUG
rnacentral:rRNA from 1 species